UACGUAGGUGACCAGCGUUGUCCGGAAUUAUUGGGCGUAAAGAGCGUGUAGGCGGUCCGGUAAGUCAGCUGUGAAAGUCAAGGGCUCAACCCUUGAAUGCCGGUUGAUACUGUCGGGCUAGAGUCCGGAAGAGGCGAGUGGAAUUCCCGGUGUAGCGGUGAAAUGCGUAGAGAUGUGGAGGAACACCAGUGGCGAAGGCGGCUUUCUGGUCUGUAACUGACGCUGAGGCGCGAAAGCGUGGGGAGCAAACAGG
rnacentral:rRNA from 1 species